AUUGAACGCUGGCGGCAGGCCUAACACAUGCAAGUCGAGCGGAUGAGUGGAGCUUGCUCCAUGAUUCAGCGGCGGACGGGUGAGUAAUGCCUAGGAACCUGCCUGGUAGUGGGGGACAACGUUUCGAAAGGAACGCUAAUACCGCAUACGUCCUACGGGAGAAAGUGGGGGAUCUUCGGACCUCACGCUAUCAGAUGAGCCUAGGUCGGAUUAGCUAGUUGGUGAGGUAAAGGCUCACCAAGGCGACGAUCCGUAACUGGUCUGAGAGGAUGAUCAGGCACACUGGAACUGAGACACGGUCCAGACUCCUACGGGAGGCAGCAGUGGGGAAUAUUGGACAAUGGGCGAAAGCCUGAUCCAGCCAUGCCGCGUGUGUGAAGAAGGUCUUCGGAUUGUAAAGCACUUUAAGUUGGGAGGAAGGGCAGUAAGUUAAUACCUUGCUGUUUUGACGUUACCAACAGAAUAAGCACCGGCUAACUUCGUGCCAGCAGCCGCGGUAAAAC
rnacentral:rRNA from 1 species